rnacentral:rRNA from 1 species
ACGUUCGGAUUGCAGCCUGCAACUCGGCUGCAUGAAGCUGGAAUCGCUAGUAAUCGCGGAUCAGAAUGCCGCGGUGAAUACGUUCCCGGGUCUUGUACACACCGCCCGUCACACCAUGGGAGCCGGGAAUGCCCGAAGUCAGUGGCCCAACCGCAGGGAGGGAGCUGCCGAAGGCAGGCCCGGUGACUGGGGUGAAGUCGUAACAAGGUACC